rnacentral:rRNA from 1 species
AUUGAACGCUGGCGGCAGGCCUAACACAUGCAAGUCGAACGAGUGGCGGACGGGUGAGUAAUGUCUGGGAAACUGGCUGACGGAGGGGGAUAACUAGUGGAAAAGGUAGCAACUACCGCAUACCGACGGAUGUGCCCAGAUGGGAUUGGCGAGUAGGUGGGGUAAAGGCUAACCUAGGAGACGAUCCCUAGCUGGUCUGAGAGGAUGACCAGCCACACUGGAACUGAGACACGGUCCAGACUCCUACGGGAGGCAGCAGUGGGGAAUAUUGCACAAUGGGCGCAAGCCUGAUGCAGCCAUGCCGCGUGUAUGAAGAAGGCCUUCGGGUUGUAAAGUACUUUCAGCGGGGAGGCGUUACCCGCAGAAGAAGCACCGGCUAACUCCGUGCCAGCAGCCGCGGUAAUAC